UACAGAGGUCCCGAGCGUUGUUCGGAUUCACUGGGCGUAAAGGGUGCGUAGGUGGUAUAGAAAGUUUGAUGUGAAAGCUCAGGGCUUAACCCUGAAAUGGCAUUGAAUACUGCUGUGCUGGAGGUUUGGAGGGGGGACUGGAAUUCUUGGUGUAGCAGUGAAAUGCGUAGAUAUCAAGAGGAACACCAGUGGCGAAGGCGACUGCCUGGACCAAUACUGACGCUCAGGUGCGAAAGCGUGGGGAGCAAACAGG
rnacentral:rRNA from 1 species